UUUCCGUAGGUGAACCUGCGGAAGGAUCAUUAGUGAAUUGAAUAUGUUAGCGAACCACUUCGGAGUCCCUACCAUCAAAUCAUAUCCAUAACACCUGUGAACUGUAAGGCUGACUCCAAGACGAAAGUGAUUAGAGCGCAUGCCCAUCUUAUACUAACAUUAAGGUAACAUACGUAGUCUUAUUAUAAUCAAAUAAAACUUUCAACAACGGAUCUCUUGGCUCUC
rnacentral:misc_RNA from 1 species